AUUGAACGCUGGCGGCAUGCUUUACACAUGCAAGUCGAACGGCAGCGCGGGCUUCGGCCUGGCGGCGAGUGGCGAACGGGUGAGUAAUGCAUCGGAACGUGCCCAGUAGUGGGGGAUAGCCCGGCGAAAGCCGGAUUAAUACCGCAUACGACCUGAGGGUGAAAGCGGGGGACCGAAAGGCCGCGCGCUAUUGGAGCGGCCGAUGUCGGAUUAGCUAGUUGGUGGGGUAAAGGCUUACCAAGGCGACGAUCCGUAGCUGGUCUGAGAGGACGACCAGCCACACUGGGACUGAGACACGGCCCAGACUCCUACGGGAGGCAGCAGUGGGGAAUUUUGGACAAUGGGGGCAACCCUGAUCCAGCCAUGCCGCGUGCGGGAAGAAGGCCUUCGGGUUGUAAACCGCUUUUGUUCGGGAAGAAAUCCUCUGGGCUAAUACCCCGGGGGGAUGACGGUACCGGAAGAAUAAGCACCGGCUAACUACGUG
rnacentral:rRNA from 1 species